UGGCCAAAGUAAGUGUGAAUAUUGAAAAAAUAUUUUCGCGAGAUUCACAAAUAAACUUGAGUUGAGUCAAUCUAGCAUAUGACUGACGAUGGGAUUUGACGAGUUCUCCAUGACCUCCAUCAAGUCGGAACUCUCGAUAGAGGAAUUGUAUCACACAAUAACUGCACUUAGGGUUCACUUUUUUAUUUUACUGGGUUGCCACUAUAUAUUACUAGACG
rnacentral:lncRNA from 1 species